rnacentral:rRNA from 1 species
GCUUGUCUCAAAGAUUAAGCCAUGCAUGUCUAAGUAUAAAUAAUUCUAUACUGUGAAACUGCGAAUGGCUCAUUAUAUCAGUUAUAGUUUAUUUGAUAGUCCCUUACUACUUGGAUAACCGUAGUAACUCUAGAGCUAAUACAUGCGCAAAUUCCCGACUGUCGCAAGGCGGAAAGGAUGUAUUUAUUAGAUCCAACCAGCCCGGUUCGCCGGAGUCCCUGGUGAGUCAUAAUAACCGAACGAAUCGUAUGGCAUCAGCUGGCGAUGAAUCAUUCAAGUUUCUGACCUAUCAGCUUCCGACGGUAGGGUAUUGGCCUACCGUGGCAAUGACGGGUAACGGAGAAUUAGGGUUCGAUUCCGGAGAGGGAGCCUGAGAAACGGCUACCACAUCUAAGGAAGGCAGCAGG